rnacentral:rRNA from 1 species
GAUGAACGCUGGCGGCGUGCCUAAUACAUGCAAGUCGAGCGAACAGACGAGGAUCUUGCUCCUCUGACGUUAUCGGCGGACGGGUGAGUAACACGUGGAUAACCUACCUUUAAUACUUGUAUAACUUCGGGAAACCGUAUCUAAUACCGGAUAAUAUAUUGAACCGCAUGGUUCAAUAGUGAAAGACGGUUUUGCUGUCACUUAUAGAUGGAUCCGCGCCGCAUUCUCUAGUUGUUAAGGUAACGGCUUACCAAGGCAACGAUGCGUAGCCGACCUGAGAGGGGGAUAGGCCACAAGGGAACGGAGACACGGACAAGACUCCUACGGGAGGAAGCAGUAGGGAAUCUUCCGCAAUGGGCGAAAGCAUGACGGAGCAACGCCGCGUGAGUGAUGAAGGUCUUCGGAUCGUAAAACUCUGUUAUUAGGGAAGAACAAAUGUGUAAGUAACUAUGCACGUAGUGACGGUAACUAAUCAGAAAGCAACGGCUAACUACGUG